rnacentral:rRNA from 1 species
UACAGAGGUGCCGAGCGUUAGGCGGAAUCACUGGGCUUAAAGCGUGUGUAGGCGGACUUCUAAGUACCUUGUGAAAUCCCACGGCUCACCCGUGGAACUGCUGGGUAUACUGGUCGUCUUGAGCCACCUAGGGGCGAGCGGAACAGACGGUGGAGCGGUGAAAUGCGUAGAUAUCAUUUGGAACGCCAAAGGUGAAAACAGACAGCUGGGGAUGUGCUGACGCUGAGACACGAAAGCCAGGGGAGCGAACGAG